AUACCUGGACUGUGAAGAUUAAAAUUUAAAAGCAAAUUAAUUUGGAAAAUAUAUCUACAUAAGAUGCACCGUAUAUACUUUACACGUGCUUGCAACUGAAGUGCCAGAGGCUUAAUGUACUUUGGUUUUUUUGGCGAAGUCAGAAUUGUUUUGUACUCAGGAUUUUAGUAUAAAAAUUGUUCUUCUCCGUCUUCUUAAGAGUGAUCAAACCAAUCAUAAGUGUCUCAAGAAGACAACGGAAGUAAGAUCUCUGAAAGUAAUGUAAAAGGCCCGUUAUAUCAGGGACCAAUGGUCGACCUGGAGAACCUGUGUAAGGAACUGAAAGAAGAGAUUUGCAAACUUAAGGCAGAAAAUUUGAGGUUACUGGGACAGCAGAAUGUAGUUUCAAAUGGCACCGAGAAAGACAAAAUAGUGUGCGAAACAGAUGAAGAAUAGAGGAAUUAACCAAACCUCAAAGAAAGUUUAACGUGAACGUAAAUAUGAUGAACAACGAUCAACUAAAACUAAAGGUUAAAAAUGAAUAUUGAUAAUUAACUAAAGCUGUUAAUAGGGCCAAAUUGGAUUGGCAUGCUUAUGAAAAUAAAUUGAUGAGGCCAAUUAAAGUAACUGUCAGAAACUUACAUCCAUCAUGUGAACCAGAGGGUAGGAUAAAGGUUAUCCAUAGGGGAUACAAAGGCGUGGAUGUCAUAAAUAAAAUUAAAAAAAUAAAAGAAAUGAUGUAAAUAAUAUUAAAAGUUGUCCCUUUUUAUGUUGUUCUUGAUCACAUCGAAGACAUAAAUAAAAUAUAUAAAAUAGAAUAUCUUCAGCACAUUAUAGUAAGAGUUGAGCCUCUUAGAAAUGAUGGAUUCGUCCUGCAAUGCAAGAAAUGCCAGAGGUUUGGUCAUACACAAAGAUUUUGCUAAAGCGAGGCUAAAUGUGUUAAUUGUUACCGAGGCUAUACCUGCUAGUUACCGAGGUUGUUUAGUAGCUAAGGAAUUACAAAAAAGAUGAAUGAAAAGGAAUCGGCUUAAACGGGUUAUGGGUAAUCAUGAAGGAACCUCAAGAACGAUUAAUGCUUUCACAUCAAAUAAGGUAAAAAAUGGUGUUACAUACUCGCAAAUGGCAUCCAAAAUGGCAGAAAUUGAGUAGAUAAAAGACCAAAGAAAAGUGUGAAUAAUAAAGAAAUAUGUAUUAUAAUUUAUAAUAAUGACAAUAAUACAAUGCAA